rnacentral:rRNA from 1 species
CAAAGUCGAGGAACGAUGCGGAGUCCCGUAGGGACGAAGGUCACGAUUUCACACUGCCAAGAAAAGCCUCUAGUGAGGUGGAAGGUGCCAGUACCGUAAACCGACACAGGUAGGCGGGAUGAGAAUUCUAAGACGCGCGGGAUAACUCUCGUUAAGGAACUCGGCAAAAUGGUCCCGUAACUUCGGGAGAAGGGACGCUCUACAUGAGUAGAGCCGCAGUGAAUAGGCCCAAACGACUGUUUAGCAAAAACACAGGUCUCUGCUAAAUCGCAAGAUGACGUAUAGGGGCUGACGCCUGCCCGGUGCUGGAAGGUUAAGGGGAUGGGUUAGCGCAAGCGAAGCUUUGAACCGAAGCCCCAGUAAACGGCGGCCGUAACUAUAACGGUCCUAAGGUAGCGAAAUUCCUUGUCGGGUAAGUUCCGACCCGCACGAAAGGCGUAACGAUUUGGGCACUGUCUCAACGAGAGACCCGGUGAAAUCAUAGUACCUGUGAAGAUGCAGGUUACCCGCGACAGGACGGAAAGACCCCAUGGAGCUUUACUACAGCCUGAUAUUGAGGCUUUGUGCAUGAUGUACAGGAUAGGCGGGAGACGUCGAGACCGGAGCGCCAGCUUCGGAGGAGUCACCCUUGGGAUACCGCCCUUCAUGCAUAGAGUCUCUAACUCGCAGCCGUCAUCCGGCUGGAGGACCGUGUCAGGCGGGUAGUUUGACUGGGGCGGUCGCCUCCUAAACAGUAACGGAGGCGCCCAAAGGUUCCCUCAGAAUGGUUGGAAAUCAUUCGUAGAGCGCAAAGGCAGAAGGGAGCUUGACUGCGAGACCUACAAGUCGAGCAGGGACGAAAGUCGGGCUUAGUGAUCCGGUGGUUCCGCAUGGAAGGGCCAUCGCUCAACGGAUAAAAGCUACCCUGGGGAUAACAGGCUGAUCUCCCCCAAGAGUCCACAUCGACGGGGAGGUUUGGCACCUCGAUGUCGGCUCAUCGCAUCCUGGGGCUGGAGUAGGUCCCAAGGGUUGGGCUGUUCGCCCAUUAAAGCGGUACGCGAGCUGGGUUCAGAACGUCGUGAGACAGUUCGGUCCCUAUCCGUCGUGGGCGCAGGAAAUUUGAGGAGAGCUGUCCUUAGUACGAGAGGACCGGGAUGGACGCACCGCUGGUGUACCAGUUGUUCCGCCAGGAGCAUCGCUGGGUAGCUACGUGCGGACGGGAUAAAUGCUGAAAGCAUCUAAGCAUGAAGCCCCCUCCAAGAUGAGAUUUCCCUUUGAGUAAUCAAGAAAGACCCCUCAGAGACGAUGAGGUAGAUAGGUCACGGGUGGAAGCAUGGCGACAUGCGGAGCUGAGUGAUACUAAUCGGUCGAGGCCUUGUUC